UACGUAGGGGGCAAGCGUUGUCCGGAAUCAUUGGGCGUAAAGCGCGUGUAGGCGGUUCAGUAAGUCUGCUGUGAAAGUCCAGGGCUCAACCCUGGGAUGCCGGUGGAUACUGCUGGGCUAGAGUACGGAAGAGGCGAGUGGAAUUCCCGGUGUAGCGGUGAAAUGCGUAGAGAUCGGGAGGAACACCAGAGGCGAAGGCGGCGACCUGGACAAGUACUGACACUCAACUACGAAAGCGUGGGGAGCAAACAGG
rnacentral:rRNA from 1 species